rnacentral:rRNA from 1 species
AUGCCGCGUGAGUGAUGACGGCCUUGGGUUGUAAAGCUCUUUUCUCCGGGACGAUAAUGACGGUACCGGAGGAAUAAGCCCCGGCUAACUUCGUGCCAGCAGCCGCGGUAAUACGAAGGGGGCUAGCGUUGCUCGGAAUCACUGGGCGUAAAGGGCGCGUAGGCGGCUGAUUUAGUCGAGGGUGAAAGCCCGUGGCUCAACCACGGAAUGGCCUUCGAUACUGAUUGGCUUGAGACCGGAAGAGGACAGCGGAACUGCGAGUGUAGAGGUGAAAUUCGUAGAUAUUCGCAAGAACACCAGUGGCGAAGGCGGCUGUCUGGUCCGGUUCUGACGCUGAGGCGCGAAAGCGUGGGGAGCAAACAGGAUUAGAUACCCUGGUAGUCCACGCUGUAAACGAUGAAUGCUAGCCGUUGGGGUGCAUGCACCUCAGUGGCGCCGCUAACGCUUUAAGCAUUCCGCCUGGGGAGUACGGUCGCAAGAUUAAAACUCAAAUGAAUUGACGGA